AGGGGCUUAGGAUAAUUUAGACCAAGAGCCUUCAAAGCCCUAAUGGGGGUAAUCCCCAGCCCUG
rnacentral:tRNA from 1 species